rnacentral:rRNA from 1 species
GACGAACGCUGGCGGCGUGCUUAACACAUGCAAGCCGAACGAUGAAGUUCCUUCGGGAAUGGAUUAGUGGCGAACGGGUGAGGAACACGUGAGAAACCUGCCUUUCAUUUUGGGAUAACUCCGGGAAACCGGGGCUAAAACCGAAUACUCCGUCUCGGCGGCAUCGCUGAGCCGGGAAAAAAUUUUGAUGAAAGAUGAUCUCGCGGCCUAUCAGCUAGUUGGUGAGGUAAUGGCUCACCAAGGCAACGACGGGUAGCCGGCCUGAGAGGGCGACCGGCCACACUGGGACUGAGACACGGCCCAGACUCCUACGGGAGGCAGCAGUGGGGAAUAUUGGGCAAUGGGCGCAAGCCUGACCCAGCGACGCCGCGUGAGGGAUGAAGGCCUUCGGGUUGUAAACCUCUUUCAGUAGGGAAGAAGCGAAAGUGACGGUACCUAAAGAAGAAGCACCGGCUAACUAUGUGCCAGCCGCCGCAGUAA